rnacentral:rRNA from 1 species
GUGUCAGCAGCCGCGGUAAUACAGAGGGUGCGAACGUUGUUCGGAAUUACUGGGCUUGAAGCGCGCGUAGGCGGCCCCGCAAGUGCGGUGUGAAAUCCCACGGCUUACCCGUGGAACCGCGCCGUGUACUACGGGGCUAGAGGAUGGUAGAGGAGGGCGGAACUCUUGGUGGAGCGGUGAAAUGCGUAGAGAUCAAGAGGAACACCGGUGGCGAAGGCGGCCCUCUGGUCCAUUACUGACGCUGAGGCGCGAAAGCUAGGGGAGCAAACGGGAUUAGAUACCCUUGUAGUCC